rnacentral:rRNA from 1 species
AGCGAACGCUGGCGGCAGGCCUAACACAUGCAAGUCGAACGAACUCUUCGGAGUUAGUGGCGGACGGGUGAGUAACACGUGGGAACGUGCCUUUUGGUUCGGAAUAACUCAGGGAAACUUGUGCUAAUACCGAAUGUGCCCUUCGGGGGAAAGAUUUAUCGCCAUUAGAGCGGCCCGCGUCUGAUUAGCUAGUUGGUGAGGUAACGGCUCACCAAGGCGACGAUCAGUAGCUGGUCUGAGAGGAUGACCAGCCACACUGGGACUGAGACACGGCCCGAACUCCGGCGGGAGGCAGGAGGCGGGAAGCUUGCGCAAUGGGCGAAAGCCUGACGGAGCAACGCCGCGUGAGUGAUGAAGGUCCUCGGACCGGAGAACUCUGUUAUUAGGGGCGAACAAGUGGGUCCGUAAAUAUGCACGUCUGGACGGUGCCUAAUCAGAAAGCCACGGCUAACUACGUG